UACGAAGGUGGCAAGCGUUACUCGGAAUUACUAGGCGUAAAGGGCAGGUAGGUGGUUUGGUAAGUCUGUUGUGAAAGCUCCUUGCUCAACGAGGAGAGGUCAACAGAUACUGCCAGGCUUGAGUAUGGGAGAGGGUACUGGAAUUCCCGGUGUAGCGGUGAAAUGCGUAGAUAUCGAGAGGAACACCUGCGGCGAAGGCGGGUUGCUGGGCUGACACUGACGCUGAGGCGCAAAAGCCAGGGGAGCGAACGGG
rnacentral:rRNA from 1 species